rnacentral:misc_RNA from 1 species
CACUGCAAAUCCAUAUGCAUCCCUGCAAUCUGCCUCCGAAGAUCGAUGACUCAAACCCGACAAAAACAUAUUCUACUGAAAACCCAGAUUCUACUUCCCAUAUCGUUCACCAUUGCCCCAACUCAAACUCAAACUUACUUCAAAGAAAACCAUACCACCAUCCACAAUCCACACUUUAGUUCCUAAACUAAUCCCAAUAUCACACAAUGGGAGCAACACUAAUAAAAAUCCAAAACAAAAAUCAUCAAAAUCACUAAUCAAUCACUCAUUUCCAAUAAAACAACAAAAUCAAAACAAGAACAAAAAAAAGGGCAAAAAUCUCAGUAAAACAACAUUAAUCAACGCGAUCAAAUCAAUUACAGCGAACUUCAACCACUGCCCAGCAACUAUAAAUACAGUAGAGGACCAAACUUGACAGAUCCAAGAGAUACACCUAGCGAGG